GCGGGUGUAGCUCAGCUGGCUAGAGCGCGACCUUGCCAAGGUCGAGGCCGUGGGUUCGAAUCCCAUCACCCGCUCCA
rnacentral:tRNA from 1 species